UGGAUCAGCAUGCCGCGUGAGUGAUGAAGGCCUUCGGGUUGUAAAGCUCUUUCAGUAGGGAAGAUAAUGACGGUACCUACAGAAGAAGCUCCGGCUAACUUCGUGCCAGCAGCCGCGGUAAUACGAAGGGAGCUAGCGUUACUCGGAAUCACUGGGCGUAAAGCGUGCGCAGGCGGCCUAGUAAGUUGGAAGUGAAAGCCUAGGGCUCAACCUUAGAAUUGCUUUCAAAACUGCCUGGCUAGAGUAUUGGAGGGGAUAGUGGAAUUUCUAGUGUAGAGGUGGAAUUCGUAGAUACUAGAAGGAACACCGGAAGCGAAAGCGGCUACCUGGCUAGAUACUGACGCUGUUGCACGAAAGCGUGGGGAGCAAACAGGAUUAGAUACCCUGGUAG
rnacentral:rRNA from 1 species